GAGAAUGGAGAUGCAGUAGCCCUCACCGGGCUCUGAACUACGGGAGUGUGGAUUCUCAAAGAAUUCAUGAAAAUGUUCACAAUAGAGUCUUCUUAUGCAUCUGUUUUCCCUAGAGCAUUCAAUUCAAGCACAUGAAGUAUCAGGUUGUACAAGAAGGAUGGCACCAGCAUCUGCAUCUGAUGAGGACCUCAGGGUGCUUCCACUUGUGGCAGAAGAAGGGGAGCCAGCAUGUGCAGAUACCACACGGCGAGAGAUGAAGGAAGAGAAAGAGGAGGAAGGUUCCAGGCUCUUUUUAACAAUCAGACCUCACAGGAACUAAUAGUGUGAGAAGAUGUUUAACAUAUUCUAAUAAGAUAUUCCUAAUAAACUGCCAUGAGAUAA
ensembl:lncRNA novel transcript